GGGCUGCGCUGGGGCGGGUGUCCAGCGCUGUAGGAGGAACGCGGUGGGAGGAAGGCUUGCGGGCGAGCGGACUCGGCUUCGGGCCGAGAACUUUGAAGAAAACCCUGCUACCUACGGACUUUGCUAUGGAUAUCAUGUGAAGAAACUCUGGAUGCUGUAACAGACAAAACAUGAGUCAAUUUGUGUUGUGGCAUUCAAACCCUAACACAUUGGGAGAGACAGAAACCGGGAGCUCUCAGUUUGGACUAGGCUGGCUGGCCAGUAAGACCCCAAGAUCUUCCUGUUUGCACUCUUGCAUCAAGUACCAAGAUUUUGAAGAUCAUGGCCUGUCCUUAUGCAUUCAAGAGUUGAGUGUGGAUGACUUCCAGCUAUAAAGCCUUGCCACAGGCUUUAUGUGUCAUGCGCAUUGAAGCUCUGCAUUAAACCCUCUCACACAUGGAAAUGCUCCAAGGGACUCAAGUCCAUUAGUAUAAUACAGGGGUUUUUUGUUGGGUUUUGUUUUGUUUUGUUUUUCGAGGCAGGGUUUCUCUGUAUAGCCCUGGCUGUGCUGGAACUCAGAAAUCCGCCUGCCUCUGCCUCCUAAGUGCUGAGAAUAAAGGCGUGUGCCACCACUGCCUGGCUUCAUUAGUACAGUUUUUAUGUCUCUUUCUUCUACUUCAGUUUCUUUAGUCAUCAGGGUCCUUAAUGUUUCUUGUAUUACUAUAGUUGAGAGUCAAAGAAAUGCUACUUUCUAGAAAGUAUUAUGUCUUGUGGUCACAAGCCUUUACUGGUGGAGACAGGCAUUUUCACUUGGGUCUUUUGUUACAGCCUAUUAAAAAUUUGAUUAAGUGAUGUGAAACUGAGGAUUAAAUAUCUAAAACAUACAA